rnacentral:tRNA from 1 species
GGCGGUGUAGCUCAGCUGGCUAGAGCGUACGGUUCAUACCCGUGAGGUAGGGGGUUCGAUCCCCUCCGCCGCUACCA